rnacentral:sRNA from 1 species
ACUGGCCCAGCGGCACAGACUCUGCGGCCCCAUGCUUGCUGCAGGUGCAAGAGGGUGCUUGGUUGGGGAGUUAAUUCAAACACAUCUGGAACCUGCUGCCUGCCGGGUACAGUAUGAGGCCAAGAAUAGAGAGGACCUGAGCUCCUUCGCCAUGCCGCUCCUGGACGGAGACCUGGAGGGUUCCGGAAAGCAUUCCUCUCGAAAGGUGGACAGCCCCUUCGGCCCGGGCAGCCCCUCCAAAGGGUUCUUCUCCAGAGGCCCCCAGCCCCGGCCCUCCAGCCCCAUGUCUGCACCUGUGAGGCCCAAGACCAGCCCCGGCUCUCCCAAAACCGUGUUCCCAUUCUCCUACCAGGAGUCCCCGCCGCGCUCCCCUCGACGCAUGAGCUUCAGUGGGAUCUUCCGCUCCUCCUCCAAAGAGUCUUCCCCCAACUCCAACCCUGCUACCUCGCCCGGGGGCAUCAGGUUUUUCUCCCGCUCCAGAAAAACCUCCGGCCUCUCCUCCUCUCCGUCAACACCCACCCAAGUGACCAAGCAGCACACGUUUCCCCUGGAAUCCUAUAAGCACGAGCCUGAAC